GUCAAGCUACAAAGGGCUCACGGAGGAUACCUAGGCACACAGAGGCGAUGAAGGACGUGGUUACCUGCGAUAAGUCUCGGGGGAGUUGGGAAGCACACUUUUGAUCCGGGGAUUUUCCGAAUGGGGGCAACCCCCAUGUACGGGCCACUGAUAUUAUAUGGUGGGUGGCGAGCUAACCCACCGAACUGAAACAUCUUAGU
rnacentral:rRNA from 1 species